rnacentral:rRNA from 1 species
UUCGCCCUUUUCCGGUUGAUCCUGCCGGAGGCUACUGCUAUCGGGAUUCGAUUAAGCCAUGCGAGUCGAGAGGGUUCGGCCCUCGGCUGACUGCUCAGUAACACGUGGAUAACUUGCCCUCAGGUAGGGGAUAAUCUCGGGAAACUGAGGAUAAUACCCUAUAGACAUCCUUUGCUGGAACGCUUGGAUGUUCAAAGGUAACGCCUGAGGAUAGGUCCGCGGCCUAUCAGGUUGUAGUGGGUGUAAUGGACCCACUAGCCCGCGACGGGUACGGGCCUUGAAAGAGGUAGCCCGGAGAUGGACUCUGAGACACGAGUCCAGGCCCUACGGGGCGCAGCAGGCGCGAAAACUUCGCAAUGCGGGAAACCGUGACGAGGGAAUCCCGAGUGCUCAUACAAUGUAUGGGCUUUUCUUAUGUGUAAAUAGCAUGAGGAAUAAGGGCUGGGUAAGACCGGUGCCAGCCGCCGCGGUAAUACCGGCAGCUCUAGUGGUAGCCACUUUUAUUGGGCCUAAAGCGUCCGUAGCCGGUCAGGUAAAUCC